ACAGCAUAAAUCUAAAAGGAGAUGAGAAAUUUUGAGUAAGUCUAAUUAUACUUUUUUUUCCUCAUAAUACACAGCAAAUUUUAACAAUAGCCCAACAUACGAUAGUAGAAGAGUUCAUUAAUUAAAAUAUCUCACUAAACUGUCUAAAGACUGCCUGUGGUGGAUUAGGUGGAACAGAUAUAUAGUGCUUCUUUUAAAAAGCCUACAAUAGCCCCAAGUUUCCUGCCAAAAUUUUAAUCUUUUUUGUUAUUUUUAUAUGCUUACUCUUUGUCUAAAAUGUACUUUGCAAUCACUUUUACAAGUAUUUAUCAUAAUAGAUUCAGUUUAUGGAUCUCUGUCCCUAAAAAAAAAAAAAAAAAAAAAAAGUCAUUCUAGAUAUCUCAUGUAAGGCAUGAAUUUUCUUGGUUGCCUCAUUUAUAUACUUAGUUUUUUAAUUCAUUGCAUUUUUAUAAAUUUCAGACAGUAGAAUUCAGACAGAAAGAGAGAAUAAGAGAAAGAAAGGGAGAGGAUUUUGUAAUAGAAUCCUGUCUGAGCCAACUCUCAGUAGUCUUUUGGCAAAAAGCCUGUGUGUGAACUAUUUCCAAGACCUCGGACUGAAAGGCAGCCAAAGACUCCACAAAAGAACAGGCCCAAAAUGACUUAUUACCUUUAACAUUUGACCUUUUACCCAGUUGCCUCACACUUUGUGAACUUGAAAUCUUGUGAGACUGCUUAGCCAUCCUGUUUACAAACAGCCUAUUUAUUCCACAGGAACAGCUUGGCAGGACAUAUCCAGGUCAUCUGACCUUGGGUUGUCACAAAGACCAUGAGACUCAGGCUCCUUUUAUAAUUAAGCCAAAACUGCAACAUUCUAACUGGCUGAAAUCAGUGUUGGACUGUGUAGCAAUCAUCAAACAUUUAAAUCACUUUUAUACUGUACACUUCACAGAAGUAUUAACACACAAAAUGUGAAAGCGCUUACAAUGGAACAAGUGGUAUAUGUAUAAUGCCUUCUAUGGAGAAUAGAAAAAAUAAAUUUUUAACCUGAAUAUUACAAAUCAAUCUCAAUCUGCCCUAGAUAUUACUACACUUAUUAGCACACAACAAAAAUCACACAGGAGUUCCCGUCAUGGCGCAGUGGUUAACGAAUCCGACUGGGAACCAUGAGGUUGCGGGUUCGGUCCCUGCCCUUGCUCAGUGGGUUAAUGAUCCGGCGUUGCCGUGAGCUGUGGUCUUGGAUUCAAUCCCUGAUCCAAGAACUACUAUAUGGCAUGGUUCAGGCAUAAAAUUUUUUAAAAAAGAAAAGAAAGAAAAAGAAAAGUAAACUGAUUUUCUCAAAGUCACUUGAUUAAGAAAUAAUAGAGUGAGGCUACCAAUCCAGCUAUUUUAAUACUACAAUUUAUGUUUUUCCUACUAUAGCGACUCAUUUCACAUUAAGAUCUUAUUGACUCAAUGAUGAAUAGAAUGAAAAAUUUCCAGUAAGAAUGAUAUAAAAAUAACAAAAUAAAGGCUUUCUCAAUUUAACAUUAAAAGAAAGCAGGGAGUUCCCAUCGAUGAGGAUGCAGAUUCAAUCCCUAGCCUCGCUCAGUGGGCUAAAUUCUCCAGAAUUGUUGUGAGCUGCAGUAUAGGUUGCAGACGUGGCCCAUAUCCUGUGUUGCUGUGGCUCUGAUUCGACCCCUAGCCUGGGAACUUCCAUAUGCUGCAUGUGCAGCCCUAAGGAGGUCGGCGGUGGGGUGAGGGGGGGGGGGCAUUUUAAUAAAAAUAAAUCCCAUUUCCAUAUUUUAGAAUCAUGGAAUUCCUAGUACCAGGAUUUUCAUUUUCUUUACUUAGUAAUCAUAAAUACAUUCUUAAUCCAAAUAAUUAGGAAAAAAAGAUAGGAAGUCCUUACAUCCAAAGGAUACUCCCAAAAUCCUGCUAAGUAAAAGGAUCACCUAGGAAAUAACUAAAUUAGAACCAGACUGGUGUAAGAGCUACCAAGAGUUUUACUUAGAACCUUUACUGGUCCUCCUCCCAUGAACUUACCUGCAAGGUCACACCAGGCACACUACAUGGAAGAUUUCCCAAGAGGGACUCUCUUAGCUCUUGGUUCUCUAUUUGUCUAAAAGCCAACAACUAUUUCAGCAAUCAGAGGUUUUAAAACAAAUACCCAUAAAAGUUGAAUGAUAUGCAGUUAUAGAAAGCACUAUCUUUUCCAAAGGAAUGAAUACAUCUGUAGAGCAGAAAGUAUAUUAGAGAAAGUUAGCCCACAUGUCACUAGGUAGGUUGUGUUAGGGAGGCCAUCCUUAGACUGACUAAAAGACCCACUAGAGAGAAACUGAAGAAACAGGACCUUAACUUUUCUCAUUUGUGAUAAGGCCCUUUCUUUGGCCAUUCUGUGGCACAGCUACAGCCAUUACAAAAAAAAAGAAGAAAGAAGAAGAAGAAAUACGAGGGAAGGGAAGGGAGAAAAAGAAAAAAAUACAAUAAUGUAAAAAUAAAUGUAUUGGUAAAUUUUGAAAUAUGAAAUUUUAAAACACCAUUAAGAAGCUAAUAUACAUAAGAGAAUAAAUGUGCAAGAAACAAGGAAUAAAGAGAGACAAAAAGAAAAAAACCAAGCAACUUAUUUAUAGGCAGGCCAGUGAGAAAGGAUCUUAAGACCUAUAUGGAUUGAUCUAUCUAUGAUAAGCUUUUCUGCCAAGCCUAUCAUAUGCAAUCAAAAAAGUUUCUAGAAUAUGCCUCAUGACCAUAAAUGUACUCUGGGCUGCCAAUUAACUUACUAAAUUGCUAUGUGAUAAAUUUAUCUUGAAUGUUUUAAAAUCACCACUGGAAUUAUUUCAAAAAUAUAUAUUAUAGUUGUCAUUGAUUUUAUAUACAGGCAAGAGUGGUAUUUUGGGAACUAGGGGGCGGGGGAGAGGGCAAACGUGCCAUGGAAAAAAAUGGAAACUCAUCAAUACUGAAUAUCCUCUUCCACUGAAGAAGAAUAUGCCUGGUAAGUGUACAUCAUCUGUUUAAAAAG
rnacentral:lncRNA from 1 species